rnacentral:rRNA from 1 species
GACGAACGCUGGCGGCGUGCUUAACACAUGCAAGUCGAACGAAGAGGCACGGUGCUUGUGGCGUGGACGUUAGCGGGGCGAGGGUGUGAAACACGUGUAAACCCCCCUUACCAUACUGGUAGAUCUCCGGAAGACCGGGUAGAUAAUGGGAGAAUUUCUUGAUCCGCAGGGUGGCUUGGUUAAGAACGGUUUUGUUGUGACGGAUGAAGGGUUCGCGGCCGCUUUGGCUAGUUGUUAGGGUAACGGCUUACAAAGGGGAGGAUGCUUGGCCGACCUGAGAGGGUGAUCGGCCACACUGGAACUGAGACACCGUCCAGACUCCUACGAGAGGCAGCAGUAGGGAAUCUUCCGCAACAGGCGAAAGCCUGACGGAGCAACGCCGCGGGAGUGAUGAUGGUCUUCGGAUCGUAAAACUCUGUUAUUAGGGAUGAACAAAUGUGUAAGUAACUGUGCACGUCUUGACGGUACCUAAUCAGAAAGCCACGGCUAACUACGUG